UAUAAAUUAAGAAUCCGCGAGAAGCUGAAAUCACUAAACAAAAAUGGAGGUAGAGCAGAAUCAAAACCAACCCAAAACCCCCGAAGAACCAGAAAAAGAAGAAAUAGAUAAUAAUAAUAAUAAUGAUGAUUCCAAAUCACAGAACCUCCAGAGCAAACCUAACAGCAUCAGCUACUCUUCCUCUUCCGAUUCAUCAGACGAUUCUGAUGCCGACUCAGAGGACGAGUCACACCAAAAUGAACAACUUAAAUCCUUGGAAGCCGAGCUUUCUAGUAAUCCCUCCAAUUACGACGCUCAUGUCCAAUAUAUUAAGUUGUUGAGGAAAAUGGGUGAGAUUGAGAAGCUGAGAGAAGCCAGAGAAGCUAUGAGCGCUUCAUUUCCAUUGACACCUAUAAUGUGGCAAGAAUGGGCUAAAGAUGAAGCUUCUCUUUCUACUGGGCCUGAGGGUUACUCUGUGGUUGAGAAGCUUUAUGAGCGAGGAGUGUCUGACUAUCUGUCUGUUCCUCUGUGGUGUGACUACUUGAAUUAUGUACAAGAAUGCAAUCUUUUAGUGCGUGAAUGUUCUUCUGAUGGCCUCUCAAAGGCCAGAAAUAUAUAUGAGCGUGCUCUAACUGCUGCUGGCUUGCACGUUGCUGAAGGCAAUAAAUUAUGGGACAGCUACAGGGAAUUUGAGCAGGCUAUUUUAUUAACUAUGGAUGAGACUGACACCAAGGUGAAGGAAUCGCAGGUCCAGCGGAUUCGAAAUAUUUUCCACCGUCAAUUGUCUGUCCCACUCCAUAACUUGAGGUCAACACUCCUUGCCUACAAGGCCUGGGAAGUGGAACAAGGGAAUGUUCUUGACACAGAAUCAAGUUAUCUUGAUGGGAUUUCUUCUCAUGUUGCUUCAGCUUACCAGAAGGCCAUGGAAAUGUACAAUACUCGUGCUCAACAUGAAGAACAGAUUUAUAAGCAGGAUAUAUCUGAGCAAGAAAAAUUUCAAAAUUUCAUGAACUAUUUAAAUUUUGAAAAAACUGCAGGCGAUCCAGCCCGGGUUCAAGUUUUAUAUGAACGUGCUAUUACUGAAUUUCCUGUAUCAAGUGAUAUCUGGCUGGAUUACACUUGCUAUUUGGACAAGACCUUGAAGGUUGGAAAUAUUGUAAAAGAUGCUUACUUUAGGGCCACAAGAAACUGUUCAUGGGUUGGAGAACUUUGGGUUAGAUAUUUGCUUUCCCUGGAACGCAGUCGCGCUCAUGAAAAGGAGAUAUCUACUGUCUUCGAAGAAUCCUUACAAUGCUUGUUUUCAACAGCUGAAGAGUACCUGGAUUUAUUUCUUACACGGGUGGAUGGCUUGAGGCGGAGAAUUUUGUUUGGCAGUGAAGCAGAGGGUGUGUUAAAUUAUUCAUUAAUUAAGGAAACCAUGCAGCAUGCAUCUGAUUACUUAUCACCACAACUAAAGAAUACAGAAGGUUUGCUGCGUCUGCAUGCUUAUUGGGCCCGUUUAGAGCUGAAUUUGGGAAAAGAUUUAGUGGCAGCCCGUGGAGUUUGGGAAAGCUUGCUUAAGAUCAGUGGUUCAAUGUUGGAAGUCUGGCAAGGUUAUAUAACAAUGGAAACUGAACUGGGUCACAUAAAUGAAGCUCGGUCCAUCUAUAAGAGAUGCUACAGUAAAAGGUUUACUGGGACAGGCUCAGAGGACAUAUGCCAUUCUUGGUUGCGCUUUGAGAGAGAAUUUGGUGCCUUGGAGGAUUUUGACCAUGCUGUGCAAAAGGUUACACCCCGUCUGGAAGAGUUACAAUUAUAUCGGAUGCAGCAGGAAUCAAAAGCAUUUGUUGCAUCAGCAGAUCAGAAAGAAAAUCCCAUCAAGAGAAAUGUCCGUGAAAAGAGAAAGGGAGGUCCUGAAUACACUGAUGAACAGUCUCCAGCAAAACGGAAAAAACAAACACCUCAAACCCAAAAAGGUUAUGAGAAGAGCAAAGAUCAACCGCAGAAUCUUGCUGAAGUAACCAAACCCAAGGUGGAAAAGACAGAUAGCAAACAGGAAAAGCAGCAGAAGGACUAUGACAGUGGAAGAAAUAAAGGAUAUACUGACCAAUACACUGCAUUUUUAUCAAAUCUUCAUCUCAAGGCAAAUUAUGAAGAUUUGCGUAAAUUCUUCAGCGAUGUUGGUGGGGUUGUCUCUAUCCGAAUAUUGCUUGAUAAGUAUACUGGAAAAUCGAGGGGACUGGCAUAUGUGGACUUUUCGGAUGAUGAACACCUUGCUGCAGCCAUAGCAAAGAACAAGCAGAUGUUACUUGGGAAGAGGCUGAGCAUUGCACGGUCAAAUCCUAAACAAAACAAGAAAGGUGGUCGUGAUUUUUCUAAGCAGCAGACUCAUACUGACCAAAGUGCAAAAAAUGAAGAAUCUGCAUCUUACAUGUCUACUGAAACAUCCAAGGGGUCCAGGGCACCUCAGAGUGCAAAUCGUAAGCUGGAUGAUAACAUCCAGCUCAAGGGGAAAAACACAUUUUUAGUGCCAAGAAAUGUGAAGCCACUUGGUUGGGACGCAAAUAAGCCAAAAACUGUGGAAGAAGGGGACGAGAAGCCAAAGUCCAAUGACGAGUUUAGGAAAAUGUUUAUUAAAGAUUGAGCUUUGUCUACCGAAUGAAGUGAUGGCAAAAUGCAUCUUCAAACAUUUUUAAAGUGCACAUAUACGAGAAGUACUUGUUUUAGGAUGACCAUAUAGCAUUUCUACCUUACUGCUUACUCGGGGAAAUGCAUCUGAUGCCACUAAACCCAGCAUUCUGGUAGAACUCCUCUUGUGCAAUUAUGUUGUGUGUAGGACAUCUAAUUUUCUUGUUAUGAUACAUGUCAGGAAACUUGUGACAUAAAACUUUUUCACAUCAAAGAAAAUGGUGAGAGGUGACAAAAGAUUGCAGAGCAGAGCAGAAGAAGGAUUUAUAUUCUUGUGUCCUUGGUUCAGUUCUUAUGCAUUUUGUACAAUGCUGUAGUUCUUGCUAUGUUAUAUGGUAUACCUCUUGUAUCUAGACAGCCACUUCAACAUCUAGUACAUGGUGGUGGGCAAAUUACAACUGCACCCAUUUCUUAUCAUAAUAGGAUUGCUAUUAACUGGAUUUUAGCAUUUUUUUUCUGAACAUAAUUUAGUAUACCUUUUCGGUUUCCCAAA